UACGUAGGGGGCAAGCGUUAUCCGGAUUUACUGGGUGUAAAGGGAGCGUAGACGGCAUAGCAAGUCUGAAGUGAAAGCCCGUGGCUCAACCGCGGAACUGCUUUGGAAACUGUUAAGCUGGAGUACUGGAGAGGCAAGCGGAAUUCCUAGUGUAGCGGUGAAAUGCGUAGAUAUUAGGAGGAACACCAGUGGCGGAGGCGGCUUGCUGGACAGAGACUGACGUUGAGGCUCGAAAGCGUGGGGAGCAAACAGG
rnacentral:rRNA from 1 species